AUUGAACGCUGGCGGCAUGCCUUACACAUGCAAGUCGAACGGCAGCACGGGUGCUUGCACCUGGUGGCGAGUGGCGAACGGGUGAGUAAUACAUCGGAACAUGUCCUGUAGUGGGGGAUAGCGCGGCGAAAGCCGGAUUAAUACCGCAUACGAUCUACGGAUGAAAGCGGGGGACCUUCGGUCCUCGCGCUAUAGGGUUGGCCGAUGGCUGAUUAGCUAGUUGGUGGGGUAAAGGCCUACCAAGGCGACGAUCAGUAGCUGGUCUGAGAGGACGACCAGCCACACUGGGACUGAGACACGGCCCAGACUCCUACGGGAGGCAGCAGUGGGGAAUUUUGGACAAUGGGCGAAAGCCUGAUCCAGCAAUGCCGCGUGUGUGAAGAAGGCCUUCGGGUUGUAAAGCACUUUUGUCCGGAAAGAAAUCCUUGGCUCUAAUACAGUCGGGGGAUGACGGUACCGGAAGAAUAAGCACCGGCUAACUACGUG
rnacentral:rRNA from 1 species